UGGUGGAUUGAUCUGUCUGCUUAAUUGCGAUAACGAACGAGACCUCUACCUCUUAAUAGUUGCGGCUGCGUUGUACCCAUGCCGCUGGCGGCUUCGGUUGCCUUUGGUGCGGGGAGCACGCCGUGGACUUCUUAGGGGGACUGUGUACGCUUUAGUGCACGGAAGAUGGAGGCAAUAGCA
rnacentral:rRNA from 1 species